GCAUAUCAAUAAGCGGAGGAAAAGACCCCGUCUUGAAACACGGACCAUGCAUAUCAAUAAGCGGAGGAAAAGAAACCAACAGGGAUUGCCUCAGUAACGGCGAGUGAAGCGGCAAAAGCUCAAAUUUGAAAUCUAGCACCUUCGGUGUUCGAGUUGUAAUUUGAAGAUGGUAACCUUGGGUUUGGCUCUUGUCUAUGUUCCUUGGAACAGGACGUCAUAGAGGGUGAGAAUCCCGUCUGAUGAGAUGCCCAUUCCUAUGUAAGGUGCUAUCGAAGAGUCGAGUUGUUUGGGAAUGCAGCUCUAAGUGGGUGGUAAAUUCCAUCUAAAGCUAAAUAUUGGCGAGAGACCGAUAGCGAACAAGUACAGUGAUGGAAAGAUGAAAAGAACUUUGAAAAGAGAGUGAAAAAGUACGUGAAAUUGUUGAAAGGGAAGGGCAUUAGAUCAGACUUGGUGUUUUACGAUUAUCUUCUCUUCUUGAGUUGUGCACUCGUAUUUCACUGGGCCAGCAUCGAUUCGGAUGGUAAGAUAAUGACAGUUGAACGUGGCUCCAUUCGUGGAGUGUUAUAGCUUCUGUUGAUAUUGCCUGUCUGGAUCGAGGGCUGCGUCUU
rnacentral:rRNA from 1 species